UGUUUAUUUGUUAUUCCCUUUAUUUCUAAUGCCUUGUGUGAGACUUUUAAGAGUUAGUAGAUUAGAGUGGAAAUAUAGAAAUUAUAAAUCAACAAUAGGGAAAAUAUACAGUAGCAGAUCAAGAACAGAAGGAUGUAAUAUAUAGAUAUGGACAGAUCUUAUGAUCUUACAGAGUUAUCAAAGAUAAGCUGCAAAUUUGUUCCUAAUCUUUCUGAUAGUCAUGCAGUAUCUGUUACAUGAUUUACAUUUUCCAUAAACAGAAACCAUAUUGAUUAUUUAUGGGGCAUGAAGACUUGCUAGCAUUAAAGUCUAAAAGAAGUUCCUUUCUUGCACUCUGUAUGGAUGAUGAAGUGUACAACCUUCUAACAACUUCCCUAGAAGAAAUGCAGCCUCUUUCACUGAGCAGUUCUUCAAUGGGAACAGAGGACUCUAGAGCUAGGGGAGAACUCAGUGGAUAUAGAUUUUCAGAGAAUCAGAAUAUCGUGUCUGGUACUGGAUGCUGUACAGUAUAGUAACCACUAGCCCCAUGUAGAUAGUUCAUUUAAAGCAAUUAAAAUGUGGUUCCUAUAACAAAUCAACAUCUUUUUUGGUCUUUUUUUUUAAUAUCCCAAUGAUAACUCUAAUUUGGACUUAGCAAAAUUACUAAUUAGCUAGUUCUUGUUGUUUUCUAAUUAGCUUUUUUUUUUUUCAUUUAAAUCCAAGUUAACAUAUAGUGUAAUAAUGAUUUCAGGAAUAGAAUUUAGUGAUUCAUCACUUACAUAUAACAGCCAGUGCUCAUCCCAACAAGUGCCCUCCUAAUGCCCCUUGCCCAUUUAGCCACCCCCCCCCCACACUCUCCAGCAACCCUCAGUUUGUUCUCUGUAUUUAAGAAUCUCUUAUGGUUUAUCUCCCUCUCUGUUUUUAUAUUGUUUUUGCUUCUCUUCCCUUAUGUUCAUCUGUUUUGAAUCUUAAAUUGCACAUAUGAGUGAAGUUAUAUGAUGUUUGUCUUUCUCUGACUAACUUAUUUUGCUUAGUAUAGUACAUUCUAGUUCCAUCCACAUUGUUGCAAAUAGCAAAAUUUCAUUCUUUUUGACCACCAAGUAAUAUUCCAUUGUGUGUGUGUGUGUGUGUGUGUGUGUGUGUGUGUGUGUACCACAUCUUCUUUAUCCACUCAUUGGUUGAUAGACAUGUGGGCUCUUUCCAUACUUCGGCUAUUGUUGAUAAUGCUGCUAUAAACAUUGGGGUGAAUGUGCCCAUUCAAAACAGCACUCCUGUAUUCUUUGCAUAAAUACCUAGUAGUGCAAUUAUUGGGUCAUAGGGUAGUUCUAUUUAUUAAUUUUUUGAGGAACCUCUAUACUGUUAUCCAGAGUGGCUGCACCAGUUUGCAUUCCUACCAGUAGUGCAAAAGAGUUCCUCUUUUUCUGCAUCCUUGCCAACAUCCAUUGUUGCCUGAGUUGUUAAUUUUAGCCAUUCUGACAGAUGUGAGGUCAUAUCCAUUGUGGUUUUGAUCUGUAUUUCCCUGAUGAUAGUGAUGUUGAGCAUCUUUUCAUGUGUCUGUCUGUUAGCCAUCUGGAUGUCUUCUUUGGAAAAGUGUCUAUUCAUGUCUUUUGCCCAUUUCUUCACUGUUUUUUGGGGGUGUUGAGUUUGAAAAGUUCUUUAUAGAUUUUGGAUAUUAUCUGAUAUGUCAUUUGCAAAUAUCUUUUCCAAUUCCAUUGGUUGCCUUUUAGUUUUACUGAUUUUUUCCUUCACUGUACAGAAGUUUUGUUUUGUUUUGUUUUGUUUUUUUUAUCUUGAUGAGGUCCCAAUAGUUCAUUUUUGCUUUUGUUUCCCUUGCCUCCAGAGACAUGUCAGGUAAGUUGCUGCAGUUGAGGUCAAAGAGGUUGUUGCCUGUUUUCUCCUCUAGGAUUUUGGUUGCUUCCUGUCUUAUAUUUAGGUCUUUAAUAUAUUUUGAGUUUAUUUUUAUGUAUGGCAUAAGAAAGUGGUCCAGGUUCAUUCUUCUGCAUGUCGCUGUCCAGUUUUCCCAGCACCACUUGCUGAAGAGACUGUCUUUAUUCCAUUGGAUAUUCUUUCCUGCUUUGUCAAAGAUUAGUUGGCCAUAUGUUUGUGGGUCCAUUUCUGGGUUUUCUAUUCUGUUCCAUUGAUCUAUGUGUCUGUUUCUGUGCCAGUACCAUACUGUCUUGAUGAUUACAGCUUUGUAAUACAGCUUGAAGUCUGAGAUUGUGAUACCUCCAGCUUUGGUUUUCUUUUUCAAGAUCGCUUUGGCUAUUCAGGGUCUUUUCUGGCUCCAUACAAACUUUAGGAUUCUUUGGUUUAGCUCUGUGAAGAAUGCUGGUGUUAUUUUGAUAGGGAUUGCAUUGAAUACAUAGAUUGCUUUGAGUAGUAUCAACUCACAUAUCAACACUUUUAAGUGCUUAGUUGCCACAUGUGGCUUGUGGCUACCAAACUGGACAGCAGUGCUCUAGACCAUUUUCUGAUGUUCCUGUAUGAUCCAGGGAUAAAAUGUAGAGUAUUUGGAAGAAGGAAUCAAGUGUAUGUUCUUUACUGAUUAUUCCAGUAAAUGAUUUUUGCCCCCAUUAGGCUGUAUUUAGUGGUGGCACAGAUAGUUCAGGGUUAUACUCUCUGGCUCUUAUGUCCAUAAUUCUAUUUUACGUUUCAGACCAUUCUUGCUUCUUCCUUUCCAGUUGUCUUAACGUCUUUUCGUAAAGGUCACAGUGAUCUAAUUACAAUAAAAUGAUGGCUAUUACCAGUACCUGCUGUCUCAUGGACACUGUUGACUGUUCUCUCCUGAGAGUUUCUUGUUGGUUUCUCUGACACCAUCCCACUGGAUGUGCCUUUGUCUGUAUUUUGUAUUUUGUGGUGCUUUCUUCCAUCCUUUUGCCCUUAAACAUUAUCAUCCUCAGGAGCAUGUCCCAUCUCUCUGCUUCUUGUUAUUCUCGUUGCCCUCACAGAUUCAUCUUCUCUGUGUUCAUAGCUGAUGGGCACCUGUGGGAGUCUGUCUUUCCAGCGUACCUCUCUGCUAGUCCCCUGUGUGUAACUUGUUCAAGAGCAUCCAAAAAUAACAGAUCCAUAAUUAAAGUACUCGUGUUUCUUUAUUCUCUGUCACAUAUUAACACUGCUUAGCCAGUCAUCCAUGCGAUAGAAGUCCUAAACCACUUUCUGUCUCAGUUCUCCUGUCAUUCUAGUUAGUUAUCCCAUUCUUGUUUCUUUUAAAUUGUUAAUAUUUCUUAAAUUUGUCUUUUCUGUCUUAUCCUUGUAUCCUACCACAGUUUCAUUUUCUCUUCUUUGUUCCAGCCUUUAUGCUUCUUUUCUAGAUCUCAAGUUUGUUUUCAGUAAUUUGUCUAAAAUGUUAAUCAGUUAGUGUUUCUUCCACUUUCUUGGCUGCUAGCCAUCAAUAGGGUAGAGUCCAGGAUCCUGUGACACAGGAGGCCCCUGCUGAUACAGUGACUUCCUAUUUCCUAUUGUUGAAUACCUGCCAUGGCUGGUCUACUAUUUACCGUGAAUUAUUGAUUAACUGUGAUGUUUCAUAUAUGAUAUGAUAAUGGAUUGCCUUGUCUAUGUAUUUGCCCAUUUUCCUCUAUUUUUUAUGACCUUGUAAAAAUCCUUUAUGUAAUUUGGACAGUAAUCCUUUUUCUCUUAUUUAUUUCUUAAAAAAAUUGUUUUUGAACAUUUAUUUAUUUUUAAGAGAGAGAGAGAGAGAGAGAGAGAGAGAGAGUGGGGGAGGGGCAGAGAGAGAGGGAGACACAGAAUUUGAAGCAGGUUUUUCUCUUAUUUAUUUCUUGCAAAUACUUUUUUUCACUUCUUUCUUUGAAAGAAAUUUUUAAUAAAAUUUAAUAAUUUUACUCCUAGAAAUUUAUUAAUAAAAUUCUCAAUUGUGA